AGGGUUUGAUUCUGGCUCAGGAUGAACGCUGGCGGCGUGCCUAACACAUGCAAGUCGAACGAAGAUGCGUGUUUGAUCCCUUCGGGGUGACGAUGCGUAGACUUAGUGGCGGACGGGUGAGUAAUGUAUGAGCAACCUGCCUUCAAGAGGGGAAUAACAGUCGGAAACGACUGCUAAUACCGCAUAACAAAGCGUGAUCGCAUGAUCGUGUUUUCAAAGGAGCAAUCCGCUUGAAGAUGGGCUCAUAUCUGAUUAGAUAGUUGGUGAGGUAACGGCUCACCAAGUCUGCGAUCAGUAGCCGGACUGAGAGGUUGAACGGCCACAUUGGAACUGAGAUACGGUCCAG
rnacentral:rRNA from 1 species